rnacentral:rRNA from 1 species
UACGAAGGGGGCUAGCGUUGCUCGGAAUUACUGGGCGUAAAGCGCACGUAGGCGGAUUGUUAAGUCGGGGGUGAAAUCCCGGAGCUCAACUCCGGAACUGCCUUCGAUACUGACGAUCUUGAGUCCGGGAGAGGUGAGUGGAACUGCGAGUGUAGAGGUGAAAUUCGUAGAUAUUCGCAAGAACACCGGUGGCGAAGGCGGUCUGCUGGGCCAAGACUGACGCUGAGGCGCGACAGCGUGGGGAGCAAACAGG